UGUUUUGUAGUGCUGUUUUGUGUAUGGGU
rnacentral:piRNA from 1 species